AGAGGAUGAUUGUGAGAAAAAACGACUACAUUCUGAUGCAUUUGGGGAUAAGAAGGAUAAAAAGAAGAGAGUCAAGAGUGUUGGUGAUGAUGAAAAGCCUAAAUCAACUGUUGUCUUAAAAAGAACUGCUAAGGAGAGAAGAGACCAGCUAAAGCAACUCCGUGCUGAGUCUCAGAGACUGUUGCGAGAAACUAGAGAUGCAGCUUUUAAAUCUGUUCCCCUUGUUCAAAAGCCUAUAUCUUCAGUUUUAGAGAAAAUUCGGCAAAGGAAGUUAGAGGCUUCAAAAAAGU